AUAUUGAUAAGGCAUCUUAUUAAUAUUAUAGUCUUCGGGCGUUAAAGAUGGGCGUGCGCCUGAUUAGAUAGUUGGGAGGUAACGGCUCACCAAGUCUGCGAUCAGUAACUGGUGUGAGAGCACGACCAGUCACACGGGCACUGAGACACGGGCCCGACUCCUACGGGAGGCAGCAGUAAGGAAUAUUGGUCAAUGGACGCAAGUCUGAACCAGCCAUGCCGCGUGGAGGAUUAAGGCCCUCUGGGUUGUAAACUCCUUAUAUCUGGGAAGAAAUGCCAUUUAUCUAAAUGGUUUGACGGUACCAGAGGAAUAUGCACCGGCUAACUCCGUGCCAGCAGCCGCGGUAAUACGGAGGGUGCAAGCGUUAUCCGGAUUCACUGGGUUUAAAGGGUGCGUAGGCGGGCAGGUAAGUCCGUGGUGAAAUCUCUGAGCUUAACUCAGAAACUGCCAUGGAUACUAUUUGUCUUGAAUACUGUGGAGGUAAGCGGAAUAUGUCAUGUAGCGGUGAAUGCUUAGAUAUGACAUGGAACACCAAUUGCGAAGGCAGCUUACGACAC
rnacentral:rRNA from 1 species